rnacentral:rRNA from 1 species
AUGUCGACAAGCAGUGGCAAGCCGCUGCUCGUCGUGAUCCGCCGGAGCAAGCUCUCCGCAGGAGGUGAGGGCCACCGCAUCUGCACAGAGUUCAAGCAGGCCAAGUACCCCUUCAAGUGGAGAAGGUACAUGUGCGCUAGGUGUGGGAUGCUCCGUGAGGAGCACAACGCCUGCAAGAGCAAGCUCUCCGCAGGAGAUGGGGGCAAGCACGAGACCAGCAAGAGCAAGCUGUUUGCAGGAGAUAAGGGCGAGCACAGCGCUGACAAGUGCAAGCUCUCUGCAGAAGAUGAGGGUGAGCGCAGCGCCAACAAGAGUAAUAUCUCCGCAGGAGAGAAGGGCGAGCGUGUCUGCACCGAGUUCAAGCAGGCCGAGUACCCCUUCAAGUGGAGAAAGUACAUGUGUGCCAGGUGCGGGGUGCACCGUAGCGAGCACGGUGUCAGCAAGGCCAAGGCCAAAGUGGACGACGACAUGGAGAAUAUCAGGGAGGAGCUCCUGCCGCCACGCAAGAGGCUCAUUCUCAGGUUCAAGCGGUCACAGGCCCUUGCCGCUGCUGCUGUUGCUGCAUCCAGGGAGAAGGAGAACAAGGAGGGGGAGCUAGAGGAAGGGGAGAUCACCUGGAGCCCCGGCUCGACGAUCACCAAGGGGAAGAGAGCCCCAAGGAGAAAGCCCUAG